AGAAGAAGAGAAAGAAGGAAAGAAAAGGAAAAGAGCAAAACAUGUGACUGCCCUCAUGGAUCGUGGCCAGGAGUUUUAGCAGUUUAUCAGUUACAGAAAAAAAGGCAAAAGGCCCAAUCUAAUUAUAACUCGCCACAAAUAAGUCAGAAGCCGAGUGAGGACCGAGGGAAGGAGCGAGCCUGUGUCGGGCUUACGCUGUAAAACUGAUCACGUCGAGGGAUGAUCAUGGCAGACAGAUUGUGUUACAAGGGAUACUGAAGACUUGGGGUCUCAGCCUGGAUUAUUCUCAGAAUGACUGCAGAUUUCUUCUCUGCUUCCUUCUGCAUGCGGAACUUUUAGAACAAGCUCA